rnacentral:lncRNA from 1 species
UUUAUUGAAGUUGACAAUGCUAAUCUCGCUUCUAAAAGCUCUGUCCCAAUAUUUCGUCCCAUGCUCGAUAUUAAUUAUCUGAAUCUGAAAAAUAGAAAGAAAGGUAAUGAGCUAGACAGCCCAGUAAGUAACAAGUAUCUCUACCAGAUAUUUCAGAUAUUAUAUAAUUUUCAAGAAUAAUGCUGCAAAUAAACAUAAAAAUA